UGGGGAAUAUUGCACAAUGGGCGAAAGCCUGAUGCAGCGACGCCGCGUGAGUGAGGAAGUAUUUCGGUAUGUAAAGCUCUAUCAGCAGGGAAGAAAGAAAAGACGGUACCUGAGUAAGAAGCUCCGGCUAAAUACGUGCCAGCAGCCGCGGUAAUACGUAUGGAGCAAGCGUUAUCCGGAUUUACUGGGUGUAAAGGGAGCGUAGGCGGCAGAGCAAGUCUGAUGUGAAAGCCCGGGGCUCAACCCCGGUAGUGCAUUGGAAACUGUUCAGCUCGAGUGUCGGAGGGGUAAGCGGAAUUCCUGGUGUAGCGGUGAAAUGCGUAGAUAUCAGGAAGAACACCGGAGGCGAAGGCGGCUUACUGGACGAUCACUGACGCUGAGGCUCGAAAGCGUGGGGAGCGAACAGG
rnacentral:rRNA from 1 species